CUUCAAUUUUAAUCUGGAUAACGCCAAAGCUUUUCCUCAAAUUCGCCCCUGGAGUCAGCUCAUAGAUGCUCUGAUUUUGUCUACCAUUGCUCCUCCUUAAUAUCUCUCGCACAGGUGCCAUUGACCUUUAGAUGGGCUGUACAGUGUGGGGUUCGGUGCCAUGGAUCUGCUUCUCCAGGGACCAGGAUCUUGAGAUCUUCAGGCUGGGUUUCCAUGGAGGCAUGGAGCUGCUUUUCCUCCUUCAUAACUGCACUCAAAACAGCCCUGUUGCUCUAGAAUGGAGACUUGGGCAACUCCUUCUGGCACAGAUUUGUUCACCUCAGGUGAAAUUCAGAUAGAAGCAAGCUGCAGGCAGUUUCACCUCUAAGUCCAUGGGUUCUCAACUGGUAACGUCCUCUUAUGGAUGUUAGCCCAUGAGGUCAAUCCUGUAGCAAUCUAAGGCUUGAGAAAAAUUAAUCUUCUGGAAAAUUCCAAGAAUACAUCUUAGGGAAACUGGCUCUACCUUUAUGACUUGGAUCACACAAGGAUAUGCUUCUCAUUUUGGACUAGAACUGAGAGCCAAUGGAUGUGUUUUCUAAAACUAUCCCAGUGUGUUCACUAUACAGAGGAAGAUUCUGAGAUUCAAGACUCAAGACUGAAGAAGAUCAUUAUUUUUAUUAUUUUAGUCUUAUGCACAAAAUGGUAUCUACUGAAUAAGCAGGUUUUUAAUAGGUGACUUAUAUAUGUUAGCAAAAAAAUCACUUUGUCUUUUAGAUCUAUUCUAGUUUUUCAGUAGCUGUAGACUUAAGUGCUAACUUUUAGCCCAUAGGAUAAGAAGAAACCAAGUCCUAAAAGUAGGCCAGCACCAGGAUUCAGGCCUCUGACUUCAAGCCAAGGGCUCAUCAUCUUGAAUUGCGCACGAAUUUUUACACAGCGCCAAAGGAAACUGCCUGUACUUACUGUUGUAGGUGCUUUGCUGGAUUCAGGAUGCAGACAAGGUCCACGCGCUGUGGUUGGUUCAGUCCCGGAGCAGACACAGCCCUGUUUGCAGGGAGCCAACAUUCUAAUUGACAGUGCGUGGUGGGAAACAGUGAACCGAGGGAAAGAGUGCCAAUGUUAGAGAGCCACAGUGCAGUGAAGAAGAGAAGGCAAGAGGAUGUGAUGCAAAAUCACAGGACCUGGCUUCCAGACCAUUCUGCUUCCAUGAGAACAUUUCAGUUGAGAACCGGAUGGCAUGAAAGUAAGCCAGAAGACACCAGGCAAGGAAAGACUGGUCUCCAGGUGCGAAUGACGUUGGAGCAUUUGGGACUGCAAAGAAUGUGGAGCGUGGUGAAUGAGAUGUCCCUUUGUAUCAGAUGCAUGCAUGAGUGGCUGGGGUCAUGUGUGUGCUUCAGUAGAGGGUACCACGGGGACACUAAGAAAUCUGGGUUUCUUUCUGAGGGCCUGGGAAGCCACCAGAAAGCAUUGAGUAGGGAGUGGUGGAUUGAUUUAUGUGUUUAUGAAAUCAUGCUGGGUGCUGGGUGGUGAAUGCUUAUUGGGGCAGAGGGCAAGGUUGGAAUUGCGGAGACCACAGCUAAGAGCCAGUUGCAGAGCCAGGCUCAUUGUGAUUCAACCUGGGAGGCAUUGGGGAUGAAAGCGAUGAGGCCAGUGAGGAUGUAUUUCUACAUAUAAUAUGGAUUAGGUAGAUGGGUUUAUACGUAAUGUAGAUUAGACUCAGAAAUCAAACUGGAGCCAAUGGCGGACACUUGAUGGAAGGUGUACUUCAAUUUCUUCCAUUCUAUAGAAAAGCAAUACAGUGGAAAGAGUAUGGGAUUUGGUGUCUCUCAGACAGGAUUCCACUUGCAAGCCGUGUGAUAUGGGGCAGCUCACCAGAUCCUGGACCUCCAUAAACCCCUCUGCAACGUGGAGAGAAUCAGAUUUCCCCACAGACUCCAUGAAGGGCUCCAGAGUGCCCUCCCCCGUUAGCCACUGAUGCAUUCAUGAGGAAGAGAAAGAGUUAAAUGCUCCUUUCGAGGAAGCGGUGGUGGCCGAGUGCUAUGGGCGCUGUGAGAUCAGAGCUGACAGCCCAGACUGAAUCGCAGCCCUCACCAGGGCCAUCGCGUGUUGCAGGGAGCUCUUCCCAAGUGCCCACUUUUACUAAAUUACAGAAAAUACCUAACAGGAUAGUUUCUUCGUGUUUUAAAAAUCAAUGACCAAUUUUUGUUUUGUUUUGUUUUUAAAAUACAGUGUUUUCAGAGAUAAGAGUAUUACAUUGGAAACCUGCUGUGACACAGAAAAUUAGAUGAGCCUGUAGUUGAUUAAAACAGUCAAGUUGACCUACGUGUCAUCUCAGUGCACAGUAAGGAAGCGUCUUCAGCUUAGAAAAUUGCUGGGAUGAACACAAACAAAUCUAGUUCUUUGGAACGAGAAUUUUCAGAUUUUGGAUUUAUGGUCAGAAAUAGCUGAGUCCCAGGGCCAGGAGCGGUGGCUCAUGCCUGUAAUCCCAGCACUUUGGGAGGCCAAGGCAGAUGGAUCGCCUGAGAUCAGGAGUUCGAGACCAGCCUGGCCAACAUAGUGAAACCCUGUCUGUACUAAAAAUACAAACUUUAGCUGAGCGAGGUGGCGAACACCUGUAAUCCCAGCUACUUGGGAGGCUGAGGCAGGAGAAUCAACUGAACCCAGGAGAUGGAGGUUUCAGUGAGCUGAGAUCACACCAUUGUACUCCAGCCUGGGCAACAAGAGCGAAACUCUGUCUCAAAAAAAAGAAAAGAAAAAAGAAAAAAACUGCUGAGUCCUGAAAUACUGAUGAAAUGACCAGCCCUGUUCACGUUCAAAACCUGACACUUUUAGUGUCAGGGUGACCAGGAAUUGUGGCUGUAAAGGAAGCCUGAGACUUCUCUGGUUCUGGCAUGAAAGAAUUUUCCAAAACUAUGUAGACGCUGGGGCCUUAGAAGUUUGAUAUUAGUGUAAACAAAUGUAUUCUCAACAAGAAUAUAGAUGAGUUUGCACUGAAUUUCAGAAUACUUAACUCCAGGCUUAUAAGAGAUUAAAUAAUUCUUUAAAAUGGAUUCUCAGGCGCUUUAUUUAUGCUACUCAUGGGAGCUACACUGGCAAGGGAGGUCACAGUUUCUGACGUGCCUUUUUUCUAAACUUCUGACUUUGUUUGUACACAUGCAGAACAUGUAUUUAACUAUUGGGAUCCCAAUCCUCUAUAUUGGGGGAUUUUUCUUUAUAUUUUUUACCUUUUGAUAAAGUAGAUCUUUAGAAAUCAGAAUUCCUGAGUUUCCAGCACUGUCAAAUUUGGGUUCUUGGGAAUGCUGAGGUUUAACCUUGACUCUUUCAAAUGAAUGCUGGUGAACUUGUCUAAACUCCUGUUCCCGUCAUUCAGUUUCUCCCUCUGUGAAGCAGAGGCAAUGGCACUCCCUCCUUUUAAAAUCCUUAAGGUUUGGGAAAGGUUUUCAGAGUAGUCAAAUAAUUUAAUACCCUUAGGUAAAAUGUGCUCUCAAAUUGUAUUUCUACCCAUGGAAAUGAAGAUUAGUCUCUUCAUUUUUUUUGUUAGAAUGGCCACUGGGAGAUUCUGCUAAAAUAAAAGAUUUUUUUUUUUUUUAAUAGUGCUGUUCAGGGGU